rnacentral:misc_RNA from 1 species
GAUGAAGAACGUAGCGAAAUGCGAUAAGUAGUGUGAAUUGCAGAAUUCAGUGAAUCAUCGAAUCUUUGAACGCACAUUGCGCCUUCUAGUAUUCUGGGAGGCAUGCCUGUUUGAGCGUCAUUAAACCUCUCUCAAGUAUGAUUACUUGGAUGUGAAGGAAGAGUAACUUAAACUUAAGGAGUGUUCUCCUUUGAAAUUGAUUAGCAGAUGGUAAUGUUAUUAAAUCCCUGAUGUUGUAAGAAAUAACAGUGGUUUUGUAGACUAUUAUCUAGCUUUAAAUUAUAAUUUUUAUUAUGGUUGACCUCAAAUCAGGUAAGGAUACCCGCUGAACUUAAGCAUAUCAAUAAGCGGAGGA